AAUAGAUACCCAGGUAGUCCACGCCGUAAACGAUGAGUGCUAGGUGUUAGGGGGGUCCAACCCCUUAGUGCUGAAGUUAACACAUUAAGCACUCCGCCUGGGGAGUACGACCGCAAGGUUGAAACUCAAGGGAAUUGACGGGGGCCCGCACAAGCAGUGGAGCAUGUGGUUUAAUUCGAAGCAACGCGAAGAACCUUACCAGGUCUUGACAUCCUCUGACAACCCUAGAGAUAGGGCGUUCCCCUUCGGGGGACAGAGUGACAGGUGGUGCAUGGUUGUCGUCAGCUCGUGUCGUGAGAUGUUGGGUUAAGUCCCGCAACGAGCGCAACCCUUGAUGUUAGUUGCCAGCAUUCAGUUGGGCACUCUAACGUGACUGCCGGUGACAAACCGGAGGAAGGUGGGGAUGACGUCAAAGUCAUCAUGCCCCUUAUGACCUGGGCCACACACGUGCUACAAUGGGCGGUACAAAGGGCAGCGAAACCGCGAGGUGAGCCAAUCCCAUAAAGCCGCUCUCAGUUCGGAUUGCAGGCUGC
rnacentral:rRNA from 1 species